rnacentral:rRNA from 1 species
AGCGAACGCUGGCGGCAGGCCUAACACAUGCAAGUCGAACGCCCAGCAAUGGGAGUGGCAGACGGGAUAGUAACACGUGGGAACGCGCCCUUCGGUUCGGAAUAACUCAGGGAAACUUGAGCUAAUACCGGAUACGCCCUUACGGGAAGAUUAUUGCCGAAGGAACGGCCCGCGUCGGAUUAGCUAGUUGGUGAGGUAAUGGCUCACCAAGGCGACGAUCCGUAGCUGGUCUGAGAGGAUGACCAGCAUCACUGGGACUGAGACACGGCCCAGACUCCUACGGGAGGCAGCAGUGGGGAAGUAUUGGACAAUGGGCGGCAAGCCUGAUCCAGCCAUGCCGCGUGGAU